rnacentral:lncRNA from 10 species
GAUCACAAGGUGCUCAGUGGGGGAGCUUUUUCAGCCAGGAUGAGCCAGGAAAAGGAAUUUUACAAGGUAAUGUCAUCACUUAAGGCAAGGACCGGCCAUUUUCACUUAUUUUGUGGUGGAAUGUCAUCAGUUAAGGCAGGAAGAAUCACUUCCUUUGUGAUUCUUCAGUUGUUUCAGGCCAUCUGGGCGUAUACAUGCAGGUCACAGAGGAUGCGAUGGCUUAGCUUGGGCUCAGAGGCCUGACAUUCCUGUCUUCUUAUAUUAAUAAGAAAAAUAACAUAAAGUAGUAUGGAAGCGUUGAGGCAGUGAAGAAAAAAAAUUUGGCAGUACUUUGUAGCAUUCUAAGGACAGGCCUGAAUUCUGAGAGGGGAAAGUGGUAAAAGUAUUGUCUAGUCUUUUUAAGUUGGUGGCUGAGCUUGGUGAGGUGUGUUUUUAAAAGACUUUUAGUCUGUUCUACCUUUCCUGAAGACUGAGGACUGUAAGGGAUAUAAAGGUUUCACUGAAUACCAAGAGGCAAUAUUGAGCCAAAAAAAAAAAAAAAAAAGCAAAACCAGAGGCAUGACAUUACCCAAUUUCAAAAUCUACUACAAAGCUCUAAUGACCAAACUUGCAUGAUACUGGCAUAAGAACAGACACAUCAAUCAAUGGAUCAGAAUAGAGAGCUCAGAAGUAAAUACAUGGAUUUAUAGGGCAACUGAUUUUCAGCAAAGGCACAAAGAACAUACAGUGAGGAAAAAGCAGCCUCUCAAUUAAGUGAUGUUGUGAAAACUGGAUAUCUCCAUGCAGGACAAUGGCAUUGAACCCAUAUCUUUUGUCAUAUACAAAAAUCAACUCAAAAUGGAUUAAAGACUUAAAUGAAAGGCCUAAAACUGUAGAAUUACUAGAAAAGAACAUAGGGGAAAAGCUCCAUGACAUUGGUCUAAGCAUGAUUUUUAGAUGUGACUCUGAAUGCACAGGCAUCCAAAGCAAAAAUAGACAAAUGGUGUUACAUCAAAAACUUCUGCACGGUAAAGGAAACAAUCAACAGAGUGAAGGGACAACCUACAAAAUGAGAUAAUUUAUUUG